rnacentral:rRNA from 1 species
GAUGAACGCUGGCGGCGUGCCUAAUACAUGCAAGUCGAGCGAACAGACGAGGAGCUUGCUCCUCUGACGUUAGCGGCGGACGGGUGAGUAACACGUGGAUAACCUACCUAUAAGACUGGGAUAACUUCGGGAAACCGGAGCUAAUACCGGAUAAUAUAUUGAACCGCAUGGUUCAAUAGUGAAAGACGGUUUUGCUGUCACGUAUAGAUGGAUCCGCGCCGCAUUAGCUAGUUGGUAAGGUAACGGCUUACCAAGGCAACGAUGCGUAGCCGACCUGAGAGGGUGAUCGCCCACACUGGAACUGAGCCACGGUCCAGACUCCUACGGGAGGCAGCAGUAGGGAAUCUUCCGCAAUGGGCGAAAGCCUUGCGGAGCAACGCCGCGUGAGUGAUGAAGGUCUUCGGAUCGUAAAACUCUGUUAUUAGGGGAGAACAAAUGUGUAAGUAACUAUGCACGUCUUGACGGUACCUAAUCAGAAAGCAACGGCUAACUACGUG